CUCUGGUCCUCCGUACAGACGCCGUAAACUCCUCGGCAGCGCCUGCAGCCUCACAGGGGCCGUGAGGUUCAACCAGCUCCCUAACGUCAAAGCGUCCAUCGAGGGCCUUCGAGAAAGAGCCGUCCUCCCGACACCUGUACAGAUGCUGUCGUACAAGAGAAGAGACGUCUGCGUCCUCCGGAGGAAGGCGUGCUGCGUUCGACCCUCUGAAGCCGAUCUAGUCCAAAUACAGAACGUGUCGGAGCUUUCGGCCCCGAAACAAGCGCGGAACAGCACAGAAAGCCCCCUGAACCACAGCGCAACCGAAGGACGCUUAUUCCCAUUCCUGAAUCGUUGCUGCCUAUGCUGUGUGAAUAUGACGUGAGCUCUCUCACCUUUUUGUAUGGGAGUCAUGGAGAAGGUUGACGCUGGAGGUUUGGAGCUCAUCGCCGGUACUUCUCUCUUCACCGCAGGGCUCUUUGGGAGAUGAGAGACCGCUCGUCCCGUUUAGGGGGCAUCGUUUCUGCUGAGCACAGGAGAAAACGGGAAAAAUGAUCCUGCAAUGAACACACACGAACGCAACAUCAGCAUCAGCACGCACAAGAUCAUCCACCUACUCUAGACGUCGAGAGCUUCACUGGUAAGAAGCGGCUUACCGGCUUACCGAGAACCCCAACAAGUUUAUCCCGUUACCACCAUUUUGAUGAGUCUCCCUUUGAGUUAACGGAUGCAGAACGCUGUUAAAUCCAUGUGGCACGAUGGAGAUGCAGAGCCGGCUGCGGACUCGUUUUUACCUCCCUUUGAACACCCGACGAAUUCUACGAGGGAGAUAUGUUUCCCACAGCCCUCAUAAAGCGAGCGGUGUUCCUCAAGGCUCGGUUUUGGGCCCUUAGCGGUUGUGAACGGACAGGAAGAAGACAACGUCGAUGUCAAAAGAAAUCAAAAAGGACCCUUUUGCCUUCUUAACACAUGUUUCUGGUCUUGUUGUGAAUAAUUUAGAGAUGCGCUAAAAAUGUUCGGGCCUGUAUGAAGAUUUCCGUAUUUGAAUGGCAGAAAUAUUAUAGCAUUUCCGUUCAUUGGGACUGCACUGUUUUGACAUAAGAUAAUGAUGAAAACUUAAUGUGAUGCGUUAACGUAGAUGAAACGGGUCUCAUUCUGUAAUAGUAUACUAAUAAACAAUGUAAUUUAAAUAUCUAAUAACCAGCUUUAUGUAUUUAGCAUCACUAAAUCCAUUUUAACUAAUAUAGCUUGCUUCACAGUAAGCCACGUUUUAAUCAUGUCCAUACUUUUAACUGAA